UACGGAGGAUCCAAGCGUUAUCCGGAUUUAUUGGGUUUAAAGGGUGCGUAGGUGGUCUUAUAAGUCAGAAGUGAAAUCUUGCCGCUUAACGGUAAAACUGCUUUUGAAACUGUAGGACUUGAAUAUGGGAGCAGCAGGCGGAAUGAGUAAUGUAGCGGUGAAAUGCAUAGAUAUUACUCAGAACACCGAUUGUGAAGACAGCUUGCUAUACCAUUAUUGACACUGAGGCACGAAAGCGUGGGUAUCGAACAGG
rnacentral:rRNA from 1 species